rnacentral:lncRNA from 1 species
UUAUAACUCAACUAAAAUCUUGCUCUUUCUCUAAUUCAUUGUCAAACAUUAUUCCUUUAAUGUAUAAAAGUUCUGUUUUUAAUAAUGGGUUGGUGAGUUAUGCAUAUGAUUGUUGUACCAGACAUUAGUCAGAUGCCUACUGUGUGUUACACUAGUAGUAGGGAUUGUUACAUGUCUGGGAAAUUAAAGAAAGGGAAGGGAAUAUGAUAGAUGGGUUUCCUAUCUGUGUAUUUACCAUCUCUUUCGAGGUAUCCAUCGUUGCCCAAUAAUAUAUGUUUGAUUAUUAUUUGAGCUACAUCUGGACUCCACAUACAUGUGUUUUUGUCAUAUGUUCAAAAUGUGGUUCUACAUUGAAUAAUCUUUGAGAUCGUCGGAUGUUUAUUUUACUUGAGUGAAUAUUCAUGAUUCAACCAGACAUAGUCAGAUGUCUACCGUUUAUUUUAUGGUAGAGAUUGUUACAUGUCUGGAAAAUCAUAGAGUGAGAAGGAAAUAUGACUGACGGGUNNNGGAAAUAUGACUGACGGGUUUGCCGUAGGUCUAUUAACCAUCUCUCGGAAGUCUUCAUCGUUGCCCAAUAAUAUGCAUUUAAUGGUUAUUUGAGCUACAUCUGGAGUCUACAUUCCCCUUUAUGUCUAGAUUGCUGUUGGUAUCAAUUUUUUUUUAAUAGAUUUAGAUGAUUUGAAUUGGAGAAGGCCAAAGCUCUUUCCAUACUGCAUUCGUUCUUGUGUUAUCAGUUUUCACAUGUCUGCUAUAGCCCCUGUAUAAUCAUUAUGAAAAAGAAGGCCCUUUUCUUACUUUCAGCUGUGAAUACAUUGUUGCACUACUUAUAAUGUUCUUGUCAUGGAAUGAAAUUAAAGAAAAGAAAGUCUCUCUACUGUUUAAGCUGGUCUGCACCUGGCCUUUUGAUUUUUAUAGUUUAAAUUAUCAUGAAUGUGAUUGUGCGUUUUGCAUAUCAGCUUCUGAUUGUUUCAAGAAGUUGAAAGUCUUAUACAAUACAAUUUUAUAAUAUUGCCUCACCUCAGUUUAGAAUACAAUGGUCUAACAAUUUACUCUUGCAUUCUGAUUCUACCUUGGUAAUGUCUUUCCUUUUUUCUUCCUUACUUUAUGAUUGAAAUGUCUGUACAUAGAAAUGAAAAAGGUAACUAACUGUCUAAUUAUAGGUUG